UCCUACGGGAGGCAGCAGUGAGGAAUAUUGCGCAAUGGGCGAAAGCCUGACGCAGCAACGCCGCGUGAAUGAUGAAGUUUUUCGGAAUGUAAAGUUUAGUCACCAGAGAUGAUAAUGACAGUAUCUGGAGAGGAAACCCCGGCUAAGUACGUGCCAGCAGCCGCGGUAAGACGUGCGGGGUAAGCGUUAUCCGGAAUCACUGGGCAUAAAGAGUGUGUAGGCGGAAAUGUGUGUCAGGUGUGAAAGGCUUUGGCCUAACCAAAGUAAGCACUUGAAACUGCAUUUCUAGAGGAUAGUAGAGGAAAGCGGAACUUACGGUGUAGCGGUGAAAUGUGUAGAUAUCGUAAGGAACACCAGUUGCGAAGGCUGCUUUCUGGGCUAUUUCUGACGCUAAAGCACGAAAGCGUGGGUAGCGAACGGGAUUAGAUACCCCGGUAGUCCACGCCGUAAACGUUGUUCACUAAGUGUAGGGAGAAUCGAUCCUCUCUGUGCCACAGAUAAUUCUUUAAGUGAACCGCCUGGGAAGUACGACCGCAAGGUUAAAACUCAAAGGAAUUGACGGGGA
rnacentral:rRNA from 1 species